rnacentral:rRNA from 1 species
ACGUAGGGGGCGAGCGUUAUCCGGAUUUACUGGGCGUAAAGCGCGCGCAGGCGGUUUGGUAGGUUGGACGUUAAAGCUCUUGGCUUAACUAAGAGAGGUCGUUCAAAACCACCAGACUUGAGGUCGGUAGAGGGGAGUGGAAUUCCCGGUGUAGUGGUGGAAUGCGCAGAUAUCGGGAGGAACACCUGUGGCGAAAGCGGCUCCCUGGACCGCACCUGACGCUCAUGCGCGAAAGCGUGGGGAGCGAACGG